rnacentral:rRNA from 1 species
AGCAGCCGCGGUAAUUCCAGCUCCAAUAGCGUAUAUUAAAGUUGUUGCAGUUAAAAAGCUCGUAGUUGAAUUUCGGGGUCAGUGCGUCGGUCGUGCCUUCGGUACGUACUAACGUUAUUGAUUCCUACCUUCUGACGAACCGUGAUGUCAUUAAUUUGGUGUUACGGGGAAUCAGGACUGUUACCUUGAAAAAAUUAGAGUGUUUAAAGCAGGCCAAAGCUUGAAUACAUUAGCAUGGAAUAAUGAAAUAGGACGUUUGACCCUAUUUUGUUGGUUUCUAGGAUCGACGUAAUGAUUAAUAGGGAUAGUUGGGGGCAUUAGUAUUCAAUUGUCAGAGGUGAAAUUCUUGGAUUUAUUGAAGACUAACUACUGCGAAAGCAUUUGCCAAGGAUGUUUUCAUUAAUCAAGAACGAAAGUUAGGGGAUUGAAGACGAUCAGAUACCGUCGUAG